rnacentral:tRNA from 1 species
ACCGGACUCGUCUAAUCGGCAAGACAGGCGGCUCUGACCCGCAAGACUCCAGGUUCGACUCCUGGGUCCGGUA